GAGUCUGAGAUCGAGGAUUUCAUAGGAGGAUUCUGUUGGAUAUAGUGUCUAAGCCCAUAACUAUAUUUGGUAUAUACUUGACCCGACCCGGCAUGGUCCAUUUGGGUUGCACUUCACCCGAACAAUUUAUGGAUAAUAUUUGAGAAUAGUAAAAGUUAUGAUUUAUUAAUAUAUUAUAAGUUCUAAUAUAUUAAUAUAAGAUCAUAUUAUUUAAUUAGUAGUGAUCUAUAAUUAAUCUAGGAUUAAUUUAGUGAUCAAAGAUAUUACUAAUUAAAUAUGGGCUUCUAUAUUUAUAUAGUGUGGGCUUAUGCUUAUUUGGAAUGGGCUAGGCUUGGAUGGAGAAGUCCAUGGAUACUCCAUGGAGCUUUAACCCAUGGAUCUCAUGGAAAUGAAGAGACAUGGGUAUUAGGGUUUACAUGGAUGUAACCCUAAUCCACCACACUAUAUAAAGGAGGCUUUGGCUCUUGAAAUCACACUAGUUGACACAUGUUGAGGUGAGGGCCGAUUUCAAGAGAAGUGUGACUAUUCUCUCAAAGUUCCAAGUUUGUGGUGAUUUGUGACUUUCAUUUGAGGCAUCCACAUUAUUGGUGCUAGGCUCUAAAACUCCAAGGAAUCAACUACAACUACAAGGUAAGUGUUUCUACUAGCUUUAUUUGAUUCAAGUUCCCCAUGCCAUGCUAGUUAGGAUAUAAGCCUUGGAAAAAUAAUUAUUUGCAUGUAUCUUAGACAAACAUAGAUCCAAGGUUUAUUAGGGUUGCAUGUACACUUAGGAAGUGUUAGAAUGCUCAAAACCCAUCAGUGGUAUCAGAGCCUAGGCUUGUUUGUUUGAUACUUGUUGCAAUAUGCUUGAAAAAGUCGAAAUCUUGCUGUCUGACUGAUGGACUCGCCGAGUCCAUGGGGGGACUCGCCGAGUCCACUUGUAUCUUCAACCUACUCGCCGAGUAGGUUCAUGCACUCGACGAGUAGGGUCGACAGAGUGCAGUUUUUCGACUUUAGUUGCUGGAAAUGGAUUAGAAACAUUACCCUAAACUGUUUUGGUACUUGAAAACUUGUUUUAGAAGGUGUAAUGUCUUUUCUAACUCAUUUACAACAACUAGUUAUCAAAAUUACAAAGAUUAAGUGUGAUUUUGAUAUAUGAAAGUGUUCAUGUUCAUGACCUUGUUCUUAUGAUGUUUAGAUGAUCAUAGGAAUUAUUUGUAACCUAUGUGGUAGAUUAAUUCUUGAUCAUAAUGUUAUUUAAUGGAGUCCAUAACUUGUCCUCAAGUUAUGGAAAACCAAAAGUCUCUUGGAUUGAAAACCAUUAAAAGAACACAAGAGUUAGAAAAAAUGAAAAGUCCUCAUUUUAUUACUCUAUUAAACUCAUAAGUUACAAGAAAUGAAAAGUUUUGAAAGUUUACAAAACUUGCCCUCAAGUUUUGGAACAAGUAAAGUUAAGUUAAAACUUUAGUUCCAACCCCUAGAAUUUUAAAAGUUAAAAUUCAACCCUUAUACUUAUAUUAUUAUGAUUUAAUAAUUAUAUAUAUAUGUAUAAGAACAAAGUCGUCUUACCGCUAGUACGCCUCAUUCACGAAGCCGGUCUAUAAGGUGGGUAUAAGGUUGUUGCCUAUAAAAUGGUGACUUAAUGGGUGUCCACUCUCACCCACCGCUUGCUUGAUCGGUGGAGGGUCGUUAGCCGAACGGGUAAGACAAGGACUUAUUAAUUCUCAUUCAAAGUAUGAUGAAUAUUAUAAAGUAACUAAAUGUUUUAUUAAAUUCCCAAUCUUAGUUACUUUAGGAAAAAUGUGAAUAAGGUGCUAUUCCAUGAAAUUACACUUUACACUUUGAUUAAGUCGUUGGUGGAGCGUGUGUGGUUAACCGGCACACUAACUUGGACUUAACAAGGUAGGUAAAGGGUGACUUAGGGUUUAUUAUAGUAUCGAUGGAGCGUGUGUGGUUAACCGGCACAUCGAUUGAGUGAUAAACUUUAAGGGUACCAAGUGAUUUGCAUGGUUACUUCACACCUCGUUUUGUGAUCCUCGGUAUCCCAGUCACAAAACUUGGAGGGCACACUCGAGAUUGAAACAUGCCUUUGAAAAGUUCAUUGAAUCUCAAAGAAUCUAGGAAUUUCUAAGAACCAUUCAAAAACCUAAUACUAAAAUAUUGCGGUUUUCGUGGUGGAAAUUGGUGAAUCGUCAUUCACCUACCUUUCAAAUAUGAUAUAGCUUAGAUUACGGCAUACCUCUUCUAAGUUAUAUUAUAUUGUGAUUGGAUCCUAGCCUUAAUAUUACAUUUGGGUGUUUUAUUAAGGACUCUCUUAUAUCUAAACUAAUCUUGUCCUCUUUCCUUCAGAUGUCUUUCAACAAUGCUUCUGGCUCUAAUCCUAAUGGCUCCUUUACCCUUAUGAACUUGUGUGGGAAAGUCACCUUUGAUGGAUCCAACUUCAAUGAGUGGAUCAGAAACAUCAGGAUGAUUACCCGCUACGAGGACAAAGAAUAUGUCCUUGACAAGGAGCUUAAGGAGAUUGAUGAGUCCACUGCAACUCCUCAGGAGAUCGCUGAAUUUCGGGCACAUGAAAGGGAUGCUACGAAAGUGGCUUGCAUCAUGAUGGCCACGAUGACAGCGGAACUCCAAAAGUCUUAUGAGGAUUUCUACCCUUAUGAAAUGCACCAAGAUUUGAUGGAAAGAUACCAUCAAAGUGCAAGACAAGAGAGGUAUGAAAUCAUCUGCUCCAUGAUAACAACCAUGAUGAAGGAUGGGGAAUCCGUCACGAGCCACAUGUAGAAAAUGCAAAGGUAUGUGGAUCGUUUGCUGAAGCUUAAUGUGAACUUCCCUGAGGAUCUUGCAAUAGAUAUCUUUUUGCACUCCUUACCAUCGUGCUAUGAUAAAUUCCGCAUGACAUAUCACAUGAAUAAGGAAUAGGUCACACUCAGCAAACUUCAGGGACUUCUCAACACCGCAGAAUCAGGUCUUAAGGGGAAGUCGGUUGCUAUCACUCCUACUCCAAACUCAACUCCGGUUUUGGCAAUUGGGAAAAAUCGAUGGAGGAAGAGAAAGAGAUCCUCGAAGGGUACGAAGGCUCGGACCCUUGAUGGCUCUUCUUCAAAUGGAACCAAGAAAGGUUUCGUCACUCCUUUUUUUGACCCAAAAGAGGCUGAAUGCUUCUAUUGUCAUGAAAAUCUCAUUGGAAGCGGAACUGCCCAAAGUACCAGCAGGAUGUGAAGGAUGGGAAAGUCAAACCCAACCAUGCAGGUACUUACACUAUCAUCUCUAAUAACUCACCCCAUUCUAAGUCUUGGGUCCUUGAUACCGGUUGUGGUAUUCAUAUUUGUUGUGACUUGCAGGGACUAAGAAGAAGUGAGAAUGUGGAGCAAGGAAGAAUAAAAUUGAUCAUGGGGAAUAGGAAAGCUUUACCUGUUACCAAGAUUGGAGUUUAUACUUUAUCGCUAAGUAGUGGGUUUAAUUUAGAUUUGAAUAAGUGUUGUUAUUCGCCAGGAAUGGCAAGAAAUAUUAUUUCCUUUCAUGCUUUGUACAAACAAGGGUUUACCUUUUCAUUUAAUAAUGAAGUUGGUUCUAUAGAUGUUUUCUAUAAUAAUGUUUUUUAUUUUAAAGCAUUACCUUGUGAUGGUGUGUAUGAAGCUGUAUCUGUUGUAGAUAACUUGGGAAAUAAUGUUUUGUGUAUUGAUUCUACUAAUAAUAACUUGGAUAAAGCAUCUUUAUGGCAUUGUCGUCUUGGACAUAUAAGCAAGAAACGCAUAGGCCAACUCCAAAAGGAUGGAGUCUUGGAGUCGUUUGACCUAAAGUCAGAUGAUAGUUGCGAAUCAUGCUUACUUGGAAAAAUGACAAAGUCACCCUUCACAGGUUCGUGUGAGAGGGGUGAAGGUUUGUUGGACCUUAUACACACGGAUGUGUGUGGACCAUUCAAACAUGCCACAAGGGAUGCUAAUCGUUAUUAUUUGACUUUUACUGAUGAUUAUAGUAGAUAUGGAUAUGUCUACUUGAUCAAGCAUAAGUCAGAGACUUUCGAGAGGUUUAAGGAAUUUAAACAGGAAGUCGAGAAUCAAUUGGGCAGGAACAUUAAGAUGCUUCGAUCCGAUCGUGGUGGUGAGUAUCUUAGUUCAGAGUUCCUCGACUAUCUAAGGGAAUGUGGGAUAGUCUCACAAUUGACACCUCCCAGGACACCACAGUUGAAUGGUGUGGCUGAGAGGCGUAAUCGAACCUUGUUAGAUAUGGUUCGUUCCAUGAUGAGUCGAGCUACGCUACCAAUCUCAUUCUGGGGGUAUGCCUUAGAGACUGCCGCCCAUAUUCUUAAUCUAGUCCCUACAAAGAAAGUUGCCAAAACUCCUCACGAGAUGUGGACUGGUAAAGUACCUAAACUAGACCACAUCAAGAUUUGGGGUUGCGAGGCUUUCGUGAGACGCGAGACUCAUGAUAAGCUCGAACCUCGAAGCGAGAGGUGUAUUUUCAUCGGUUACCCACAGCGAUCCUUUGGUUACCUCUUCUACAGACCUAGUGACAAUGUGGUCUUUGUAGCAAGAAGAGGAGUCUUUCGAGAAAGAGAGUUUAUAAGCCAAGGAGACAGUGGGAGGCAAAUUGAUCUUGAAGAAAUUCAAGAAUCAAGCGGUGAAGGAACUUCAAACUCUAGCCCUCAACUUGAGGAGGAAACUCCUGUUGAGCCAAUUGACAAAUCUGUACCUCUGAGACGUUCCACGAGAGUUAGGAGUGCACCUGAGCAUUACUAUGGAUUCCAUAUUACUGCAGAAGGUGAGACACUUAUUAGUGAUGAGACACUAGUAAGUCAAGAUGACCCUAACAGCUACGAGGAAGCCAUGGCAGGCCCCGAGUCUGCUAAAUGGAAAGAGGCUAUGGAUAGCGAGAUACAAUCCAUGUAUGACAAUCAAGUUUGGAACUUGGUUGAAAAUGUACCAGGUCGUAAGACAGUAGGGUGCAAAUGGGUCUUCAAGAAGAAGACCGACAUGGAUGGUAAAGUACACACUUAUAAGGCUAGACUGGUUGCAAAGGGCUUCUCUCAAAUUCCUGGAGUGGAUUAUGAUGAGACCUUUUCUCCGGUAGCCAAGAUUAAGUCUAUUCGGGUUCUGUUAGCCAUAGCUGCAUUUCAUGACUAUGAAAUAUGGCAGAUGGAUGUCAAAACCGCUUUCCUUAAUGGAAAGUUGGCUGAAGAUGUUUACAUGAGUCAGCCAGAGGGUUUUGUCAGCAACGAGUACCCUAAUAGAGUGUGUAAGCUUGAGAAAUCCAUUUAUGGAUUGAAGCAAGCACCUCGCAGAUGGAAUCUUUGCUUUGAUGAAAAGGUCAAGGAAUUUGGCUUUUCUAGGAGUGAAGAUGAAUCUUGUGUGUAUGUCAAGGCUAGUGGGAGUAUAGUUAGCUUUUUGGUAUUGUAUGUGGAUGACAUACUACUCAUAGGAAACGACAUUCCAACCCUGCAGGAAGUAAAGUCCUGGCUUGGGAAGUGUUUCGCUAUGAAGGACCUUGGUGAAGCUGCCUAUAUUCUAGGGAUAAGAAUCUUGAGAGAUCGGAGUAAAAGACUAAUUGGACUUAGUCAGAGUACCUACUUGGAUAAGGUGCUGAAGAGAUUCAGCAUGCAGGAUUCCAAGAAAGGAGAGUUACCCAUCCAGAGUAACACCAGAUUGAGUAAGACACAAAGCCCUAGCACUGAGGCUGAGAUAGCAGAAAUGAGUCGAACACCUUAUGCUUCGGCUGUAGGAUCGAUCAUGUAUGCUAUGACGUGUACUCGACCCGAUGUAGCUUUUGCCUUGAGCAUGGUUAGCAGGUAUCAGGCGAACCCUGGCAAGGCACACUGGACUGCGGUAAAGAAUAUCCUCAAGUACCUACGGAGGACUAAGGACUGGGUCCUUACCCUCGGUGGGAGUGAUGACUUGAGAGUUGUAGGGUAUAGUGAUGCUAGCUUCCAGACUGAUAGGGAUAAUUUCCGCUCUCAGUCGGGCUGGGUCUUUACCCUAAACGGAGGAGCAAUUUCUUGGAAGAGUUCCAAGCAAGAGACAGUGGCAGAUUCUACUUGUGAAUCAGAGUAUAUUGCAGCUAGUGAGGCAGCAAAGGAGGCGAUAUGGCUGAAGAACUUCAUUGGAGACCUUGGAGUUGUACCAGCUAUUAAAGAGCCAAUGGAAAUUUUCUGUGAUAGUGAAAGUGCUGUUGCCUUAGCCAAGGAACCAAGGGAUCAUGGGAGAUCCAGACACAUCGACAGAAAAUACCAUUUCAUUAGACAUCGGAUCGAAGAAGGACUCCUCGUGGCAAAGAGGGUAUCAUCGGAUGAGAACCCAGCAGAUCCCCUCACGAAGGGACUGAGUAGGGUUAAGCAUCUCCAGCAUGCUCGGAGCAUAGGGCUGAAGGAUGAUAUAAGUUUUAGUAGUUAGAUAACCCAGAAAUUUGUAAAGUGUAAUUGACAUUAGAUGAUGAAUAAAAGGUGUUUUAUUUAUGAGUAAAGUGUUGCUAUCUCUUGUCGAUCGUUUACUAUAUUUCUUUUGCAUGUUUUGACUUCCAGAAUAAUUUUGUUUGGUAUAACAUAUUAUUCAAACCUCCACAGUCGGUCAUAUGUCGGAAGUAGGUAUGAAUCAAGACUGUCAUGAUGGGUUGCAGAGGUCUAAGGUGUUGGACAAGGCUACAACAAUCAUGAGUGCUCAUAAGUUCUGAGCAUUGGACUCAACCCACGCUCACUGGAAUCACUUCAUGGAAUUUUAUCUCGAGUGAUCGUGAGACGGUAAUAUCAUAUAAGUCUUCAAACCUAGAGAUAUGAUUUGUUACUUACGAGUUGGUUAUGCAUUGAUUGUACGAAAACGCAUUGGUAACUCGAUGUUAUAAAACGUGCUUUUGUGUGUAAUUCAAUGAGUGGUAGAACAAACAUAUGAGUCGAAGUUUAUCUGUUCCUUCUUGGAUUAGAAGCUGAUAUCUGGGCCCCUCGAUGAUUUUGUUUUGACCUAUGUACCGGGCCCGGUCAGAACUAAAUUGAUGUGUUCAGUUGAGUUCUAUGUCAAACAAAUCGGAAAUCGGGAAACAAAUGCUGGACAAUAAGCAAGACAAUGUUCCAUGUAUUUGUCCGGCUGAUAUCUAGAACAGAGGAUUAUAUGAUCACUUAUCUAAAUGGCGCGUUCUAGUUCAACAGAGUUUAAAGAGCUACGAUUGCUGAUCGGUUCCUGAAGUUAUACUUGCAAAUAUAGUUACUAGACUUAUCCAAGUGGGAGACUGUUGGAUAUAGUGUCUAAGUCCAUAACUAUAUUUGGUAUGUACUUGACCCGACCCGGCAUGGUCCAUUUGGGUUGCACUUCACCCGAACAAUUUAUGGAUAAUAUUUGAGAAUAGUACAAGUUAUGAUUUAUUAAUAUAUUAUAAGUUCUAAUAUAUUAAUAUAAGAUCAUAUUAUUUAAUUAGUAGUGAUCUAUAAUUAAUCUAGGAUUAAUUUAGUGAUCAAAGAUAUUACUAAUUAAAUAUGGGCUUCUAUAUUUAUAUAGUGUGGGCUUAUGCUUAUUUGGAAUGGGCUAGGCUUGGAUGGAGAAGUCCAUGGAUACUCCAUGGAGCUUUAACCCAUGGAUCUCAUGGAAAUGAAGAGACAUGGGUAUUAGGGUUUACAUGGAUGUAACCCUAAUCCACCACACUAUAUAAAGGAGGCUUUGGCUCUUGAAAUCACACUAGUUGACACAUGUUGAGGUGAGGGCCGAUUUCAAGAGAAGUGUGACUAUUUUCUCAAAGUUCCAAGUUUGUGGUGAUUUGUGACUUUCAUUUGAGGCAUCCACAUUAUUGGUGCUAGGCUCUAAAACUCCAAGGAAUCAACUACAACUACAAGGUAAGUGUUUCUACUAGCUUUAUUUGAUUCAAGUUCCCCAUGCCAUGCUAGUUAGGAUAUAAGCCUUGG
rnacentral:lncRNA from 1 species